rnacentral:rRNA from 1 species
AUUGAACGCUGGCGGCAUGCCUUACACAUGCAAGUCGAACGGCAGCACGGGAGCAAUCCUGGUGGCGAGUGGCGAACGGGUGAGUAAAGCAUCGGAACGUGCCCAGUCGUGGGGGAUAACGUAGCGAAAGCUACGCUAAUACCGCAUACGAUCUGUGGAUGAAAGCGGGGGACCGUAAGGCCUCGCGCGAUUGGAGCGGCCGAUGUCAGAUUAGGUAGUUGGUGAGGUAAGGCUCACCAAGCCGACGAUCUGUAGCUGGUCUGAGAGGACGACCAGCCACACUGGGACAGAGACACGGCCCAGACUCCUACGGGAGGCAGCAGUGGGGAAUUUUGGACAAUGGGCGCAAGCCUGAUCCGGCAAUGCCGCGUGCAGGAUGAAGGCCUUCGGGUUGUAAACUGCUUUUGUACGGAGCGAAACGGCUUCCACUAAUACUGGGGGCUAAUGACGGUACCGUAAGAAUAAGCACCGGCUAACUACGUGCCAGCCGCCGCAGUAA